rnacentral:rRNA from 1 species
UACGAAGGGGGCUAGCGUUGCUCGGAAUGACUGGGCGUAAAGGGCGCGUAGGCGGCCCUGCAAGUCAGGCGUGAAAUUCCCGGGCUCAACCUGGGGGCUGCGCUUGAGACUGUGGGGCUAGAGGCCGAGAGAGGGUGGUGGAAUUCCCAGUGUAGAGGUGAAAUUCGUAGAUAUUGGGAAGAACACCGGUGGCGAAGGCGGCCACCUGGCUCGGUUCUGACGCUGAGGCGCGACAGCGUGGGGAGCAAACAGG